CAGAAUGGGAAAUAAAGUACCUUAUGCGAUUGGAAGUUAAAGAUCAUAUCAACAAGGCAUAUGUUACACUUUUCGAUGAAGCUCGGUAUCUAACUGGUUGUUCAGCUGAAGAAUAUGUAGAUUCAUUUACUGAAGAAGGAAAGGAGCACUUAUCGCCAAUGUACCAGAAAAUGAUGAGCUGUUGCGACAAAGAAUAUCUUUUCUUGGUAAAAAUGAACAGGAAAGAUGAAGAGAAAAGAAUUGAAGGAAGAAUAACCGCUCAAGAAAUAUGCAGCCCAAACAACUUCGAACCAAUAGAA